CAGUGCUGUUCGAGUCUAACGGCCUCCGAGGUGCUGACGCCCGUGCCACCUCUGCAGACGCCCCCAAACAAGGGAGAGACCAUUCUAACGCAGAUGCUGUCCACACAGUGCCUCUCAGAAAGGGAACCUAGAGACACACUUGGUCUGUCCGGUGCCGUGACCUCAUCCGCAGCCCCCCUGCACGUCCCGACAGCCACCCUGGCUGCCCCGUGGGAGACCCCCCGGCCGGACACCGCCUCGGCUCCUGCAGCCACCCGCUGGAGCGAAAGCUGAAGGGGGGCUUCUUGUCACGUGUCUAAACAUUGGCGAAGAUGCUCUUCUUAGAAUUACCUGUAGAUACUCUACAUGCAUCCAUGUGCUCACCAACUGUAGUCCGUGUUUUCUUACAGUAAACGAGGUGUUGGCAGGCACGGCAGGAAUACAGAGCAUCUGUAUCCUUCAAGACAGGUUCUAGACACUGGAACGAUGCUCGUGUGUGUUGGGUGGACUGGAGCAGCCACGCAGGAUGUCGGAGGACCGCGGGGGUGACGUCGGGACCAACGGCAGGGCCAGGGGGUGGGGUGCGGACAGAUGCCCCGGCCUCUCCGCGUCUCAGUGCGUAUCUCAGAUAGUAAAUAAGAGGCAGGACGGCUGUUCGGGUGCUGUGGGAGCAGGCUUGAAGGGGCGGCGGGGGGCUGGGUGACGAGGUCCUCCGUUUUCAGGGGUCCCAUCACCUGUCCCAGCUGUGUUCCGCUCCCAUCUGUGCCCAGUGAACCCGACAGAGGACACACGGCUGUGGGAAGGCGUUGAUUGUGUUUUGGGAAAGAGUGCUAGUUGAACACUAAGAAAAGCAGGCUUCUUUGUUUAUUCUCAGGACCUUCUGGUAACAGGGCUACAUUCUGCAAACUGCUUAUAACGGAAGACUGCCCGUCUUAACAAAUGAUCUAGCCACUGAACCCCUCACCCCCACCCCUGACCUGGACCCUUUGAGUCAGAGCGGGAGAACCCCUGGAGCAGGUGGGGGGCCAGGUGACCCCUCGGUCCUGGCGCUCUGGGGCCCUCUUGCACCCACACCCACACCCCCCCCCCGCCUUCCUGUCCAUCUGUCCCAGCAAGUAGGCAUCUUUUCUUCUCGGGCUUGGGGGCCUUCACUCGUGAGUCCCCUCGUUCCCAGAGCGUGGAGGCCCCCAGGCCCGUGGGUGGGGGCGGCUUUAUAUACCUCUUCCUCAGUCACACAGAGGCAAGUUUUAGCGGGGGGUUAAGGCCCAUAAGAAAGGAUCUUAAACCUUGCAGUGUAUGCAGUUAAAAUUGUAUUCCGCAGAGAUAAAUGUUUUCUUUUCCCAUUGCCAUGACACUGUGUGUGAUGGUGGGGUUUCUGAGACGUUCAGGUUUUUGCACAUAGUGAUCUUAUGCAUUAUCACAAGUUACUGCUGCCUUGAAUGAAAAUGUUCUGUGAAAUUUUUUGCAAAAGCUUUACUAGGUUUUUUUUUUUUAAAUUGAAAUUUUGUAAAGGCAGGAAACGGAUUAAAACAAGCAUGCUAAAUAUAUUUUUCAAAAAAGCAAUAAUUUUACAUGUACAGAAAUUAUCCUAACCUUUAAUACUGGUGAGAGCGACAGUUUACUUAAUACAGUAAUGGAUUAGUGCAGUUUUUGUAGAAAUGGGCUUCUGAUACAAAGAGUUGUUUAAACACACACACAUACAAACCCUAAAGUGUGGUUUUCCUGUUCUAAUGAUUUGUUGAAUUAUAUUAUUAUUAUUAUUAUUGUCAUUGUUGUUGUUCUUAGUUAAUGUUUGGUUCUGGAUUCUACUUGUUACUGAAUUUAAAUUACUUGACGGUUCAGGUUACUUUGCAGCAUUUGCAAAUGAUGCAGUGUAACUGGCUAGCUUAUAUCUAUAAAUAUAUAUACAUGUAUGUACACACACAUAUAUGCAUAUAUGUGUAUGUAUAUAUAUAUAACUUUUUUACUUAUUUUUUCCUGAUAUUCUUACACCAGAUAUGUUCCAGAAUGACCUGUCGUGUUGUUUUCAUUAGGGAUGUCCCUGCAGAUGUGAUCGGCGGCUGUAAUUGACUGUCCUGUCAAGUUACUUUGAACAAAGCCACAGAGACACAUUCCUUUGUUCACGCCGGGAAUCAGAAUGCCUUUCUGUCGACUUACGUUUGAUCACGUCCGUAGUCUCCCCACAGUGAUCAUUUCUGCAUUUUCUGGCUUUUAUUUUCUUGGCUGACAGUGAAGGGUGACAGUCCAGGGCCUGCUGUUUCUGUUUGAGUUAUUAAAGGAGCUCUGUACCCAAUGUGGCACAGAGGAGUUGCCUAUGUGCACACCUUCGGAGCCACAGACGGCAUCCGGGGAGCCCCUCUCUGGGCAGCCUGCUGGAAGGGGUGCGUCCUGGGGCCCUGUUGGCCGGACACACAGCCCGAGCCUGUUGGAGUACUGCUUCUGCCUGGAGCACAGAAAUAAGUUUUUCACUUCAUUCAGCAGACUGGGGGUGAGGGUCCCUCUGAGGAUGCUGCCUCCGAGAAAAGCCGUCUGGGGCCUGACUAUGGUUCCCUUCUUCCACUGAUCAUCAGUAUUGUAUGGGUUUGCUCAUGCGUUGAUGUCAGUUCGACCAUAGUAUUUAAUAUGAUUUGUGUUUUACUUAUUUAUUUAGCCAAUGUGGUUUGAUUCGCUUUUUCUUGAAUGAGGAUUUCUGCGUGGUCUCUCCUGUAAGUCACCUUCCGACUGUUACAGACUUCCUACUACCUCUCCCGAUCUGCUGUCUCCUUGUUUCUCGACAGGAUCUUGCAGUGUUGGCGUCAGAUGUAACCUGGACAAUAAAGGGUUUGGUCUUGCACUGCGGCUUCUCCCUGUGUCUCCCCCGCCCCGCGCUCCCGGCCUGCUGGUCUCACUCCUGCUCCUUCUUGCUCACGCCUCUUCCUCCUCGUCCAGCCCAAGUAACACAAAUGACGAGCUUAUAGAGGUCUUUCAGGUUAUUCACUCUUAUUCCUUAACUUGAAGAAUGAACAUUUAUAUUUUCUGAAAACUCAGCCGUUCAGCACCUUCUCCAGGCAUCCGUCCAUUGUCCUGUCUCUUCUCUUCCUUGGCUCCUGGAAGGCCUGGGGCCAUCUCAGACAGAUGCAUUUCCCCUGGGCUAUGACACAGUACAGAUCCUCAAGUCAAGGGGAUGGUGCCUCAUAGGCUUUGAGAAGUACUCGGUACUUUAAGAGCUGCCUCCCCAUGGCUACUUACUUACCUUUAAACCAAGAAAGACACUCCUUUUCGUGAAGAUGCUCUGGGAAACAGCCCUGAGAAUGACAGAGGCCACUUUGGUGACGUGAGGGAGCCUGGAUUGCACCCAGGAUGUCGAAAGCGUCUUUAGAUCUGAUCUGCACGCUCCGUCCCAGGUUGUACACAGACGCGCCCAGGACGUGUGCGCUCCCUGAGGUGUCACCCAGCUUCAUCCUCUGCGGGUCACAGGUGAGGCGGCCUCCGCCGCCUCCUUGGCACCUGGCACGGGUUUGGGCACCUUCUGUCCACCAGGAGUCAGAGUGUGGCCUGCAGGGUGGCAGGUCUAGUUAGAGCGUGGUCACAGCUGCACAGAAGCCUCCUGGCUUUUCACAGGAAGCUUCUCUUCACCCACAUUCCGUCUUCAAAACAGACAAGCGCCCCCCUCCUCGCCCCGCCCUGGGCGGUCUGAACAAUGCACAGAAAACAGUUGGGUCUCUCCAAGUUUGCUUUUCCACUUUCCAAAUGUCUCCAGGUCUGAAGUAGCGUGUGCUGUGCCACUGCUUCUCACCUGCGUGAGUUCAAAUCACAGGACACUUUAUACGCAGAGCAGAAAGGAAGAGAAAGGAAAACGACAGGCCGGGACUUCAGGCGAUGGUUCAGGUGCCCCUGUACGCGUGUCUUUGUGGGAUGACCGAGGGAAAAUGUUCAUUCUUCAACUUUGCUAAUUUUGCUUUGAGGCAGUAAAAUGCAAAAGACCACAGAAUUUGUAUUUCUUUUUUUAAAAUACAAUUUAUAACAUUAUAUUUUGUACUCUUUAUAUUAGAAUUUGUAACUAGAUUGAUGUAUUUAACUCUAUUUCUGAAAAAAAUAAUUCAAUGUUUCAGUUGUGUGAUAAAAAUAUUUAGAUAAGACAUAUUCAUUUUAUUGGAAAUUGAAAUCAAUAAAAACAUCUUGGAGUUCUCGAGUUCUU